UAUAAUAUUAUAUAAUUUGUAUAAUAUAUACAAAUAUGUAAGACAAUGAAAACAAUGAAAAUACAUUUUGUUAUAAUACAGGCUGCUGUAGUUGGAUGAAUUAUAACACAUGUACAGAAUUCUUAGUGUAGCAAGUCAUUAAUUAACAAUUUCAAGAUCAACACAGGAUACUUGAGGCAUGGAUAAACUGUUGGGAGUGUUUAGUAUUAUUGUGGUGGGUGGAUUGGAUUCCACAGAGCUGUAGUAACUACAGAGGGAUAAAGCUGAUGAGCCGUACUGUGGAGAUAUGGGAAAAAUGUGACAAUUAGCGAGCAGCAGCAUGGCUUCACGCUGAGAAAGAGCACUACAGAAGAUUUGUGACAGAAGGAUAGCAGAAAGAGUGAAAGGAAAGGUUUACAAGAUGGUAGUGAGACCUUCUAUGGUGUAUGGAUUGGAGAUGGUAACACUGACAAAAAGACAUGAGGCAAAGUCAGAGCAACCAGGUUGGUCGAGAUUAGACAGAAUCUCUCAGAGGGACAACUCAGGUUGAGAAGUCUGGACAUGCAGAGAGGCCGAAUAGCAUUGGACAAAUGGAGGAUGACAUCAUUUUUAUGAUGUCAUCACCCAGGGAAAAUGGGUAAGUGACGCAAUGUUUUCAUUACAUCUUAAAUAAUAAUAAGCGAUGUGAAACUCCCUUUACUGGGACAGUGAAGGGAAUUUUUGUCGUGUGGUUUCCAGUUCAUGGAACUCUUGGAUCUUCCUGAACGCCAUUUUCCUCUCAUCUGAGGGGAAUCCACACUUGACCCUGUGUGGAUUAGAGAAAAUCCAACUUGCACACCCAGUUCUUGUUUUAAACUAAUUUCCCCUGGAAAAAGAGCUGUUGAAAGAAAUUAUUAAAAGCUCCAAAUUUCCACGACAUUCAUGCUCAACACGAGUGUAUGUAAACUGCUGCUUGGGAUUACUUAUUUGGACCAAAGAAGAUGAAAUAACUUCAUUUAUUUUCAAUAAUAUUUCAUAGAUGAGGUGACAUAAUGUGCUUCUCUUCGCCUUGUCAGAGUCCUUCCAAGUGGUGGUGAGAGGAAGUGGAUUCCUUCACGCCCGAAAUGUUGACAAAGUGCUGUGCAGCUUUCGAAUCAACGACACCCUAACUAAGAGCUUUGGGAGUUUGAAUUAAAAGACUUUGAAGGAGACGACGCCAAACCUUUUCUGAAACUGGUAUGGGCAGUGAACGAUAUUAAUAAAAUAAGGGACAUAGCCCGGAUGCUCCUUAAAUUUCCAGAGGCUAUACCUCCUUAAUUUCAGUGGGUCACAUCUGACAUACAAUUAACAGUCCAGCUACAGUCUUUAAAUAUUUCUGUGGUGCUUUAAAUAUGUUUAAAAGAUAUUUAAAUAGCCUUAUUCUACAGAACACUUAAACUCCUCAGCAUGAUGAACGAUUCCGUUUAAAUCCUUAAAGACAAGCAGCAGGAACCAGGAAAUUCUACUUAACAACAUUGCAAACUUUGCACCAGUGCUGCUCAAGACGAUUGCUGGUGUAGCAAAGAAUCACGUAUCCAAUAUCUUUAAGCCCCCUUCAGGUCUUCCAAUGUUUGAUGUUCUUCCAAAUGAAGAACCUCCUUCAGACAGUCCUUCAACGCCCGAUGUUCCACCAGUUGAUAAACUUCCCUCUGAAAAUGUGCCAGUGUUGAAUGUUCUUCCCAGUGAGGAACUCCUUUCUGAAAGUUUGCCAGUGCCUAAUGUUCCCUGUGAGGAACUUUCUGCUGAAACUGCAUCCAUGUCUGAGACAGCUGAGACAGAGGAGUCUGAAGACCUUAAAAUCAAACAGAAGACAAAAAAAGACUUCUUCCAAAAAUUAAAAAUUCUGUGCAGUUGCUGUGUCAGACCGAAAGAAACUGACUGACAGAGAAACUGAAAUCAAAUUAAAAAAUAUAAUUAAUUAAAAAUAAUAUUUUUUGCACAAGUCUCCAUCUAUGAUUAAAGAUGAUUUUCUUUCAGAUGUUUAUAAGAGUCUCUUACGGUUCUCUAAAUACCUUCACAUGUGUUGUUAACAUAACAUACUGAUGUUAAUAUUUAUAAUAGAAUUUCAACUUAACUCUUAACAUGUCAACAACAGUAAGUGAAACUGGUAAAUAACACUAGAGAAUGCAUUUCCUGUAGAAAAUGCAGUGUAAAUGCUAAUAGCUGAAUGGUUUGAGCUGAAUUUUUAUAAUUGCUGAAUCUUUGGAAAACAGGUUUAAUGAUGUGAAAUACACCGAGUCAUUCACCUGACAGCCAAAGUGCAGAACUGAAAUUCACACAGAAGAACAAACUAGCUGAACAUGUUGAAAAUGUAAAUAAGAAAAACUGUCUAAUGACAAAAGAAAAUUAACCCCAUUCUAGAAAACAUCUGAAUGAAUAUUGAAAGCUCAUAUUCUUUAAAUCACUGGGAGAGUGGAAUUAAAUGUCUGAACUCAAGAAUCUCAAAUAAUUCUUGGAUAAUUAUCCAAGACUAUGAUCAAAACACUUUUUGAACCAUGAGGGUCCC